rnacentral:rRNA from 1 species
UACGUAGGGGGCGAGCGUUGUCCGGAAUCAUUGGGCGUAAAGCGCGUGUAGGCGGCCCGGUAAGUCCGCUGUGAAAGUCCAGGGCUCAACCCUGGGAUGCCGGUGGAUACUGUCGGGCUCGAGUCCGGAAGAGGCGAGUGGAAUCCUGGUGUAGCGGUGAAAUGCGCAGAUAUCAGGAGGAACACCGAUUGCGAAGGCAGCUCGCUGGAACGUUACUGACGCUGAGACGCGAAAGCGUGGGGAGCAAACAGG